GACAGAGGGUGCAAGCGUUGUUCGGAAUCAUUGGGCGUAAAGGGCGCGUAGGCGGUCAGGUAAGUCAACUGUGAAAGCCCAGGGCUCAACCUUGGAAGUGCAGCUGAAACUACCUGACUAGAGUCUCGGAGAGGGUGGUGGAAUUCCCAGUGUAGAGGUGAAAUUCGUAGAUAUCGGGAGGAACACCUGUGGCGAAAGCGGCGCACUGGACCACAACUGACGCUGAGGCGCGAAAGCUAGGGGAGCAAACAGG
rnacentral:rRNA from 1 species